rnacentral:rRNA from 1 species
AGAGUUUGAUCCUGGCUCAGGAUGAACGCUAGCGGCAGGCUUAACACAUGCAAGUCGAGGGGCAGCGGGGAGGAAGCUUGCUUUCUCCGCCGGCGACCGGCGCACGGGUGAGUGACACGUAUGCAACCUGCCCCUGUCAGGGGGACAACCCGCCGAAAGGCGGGCUAAACCCGCGUACAUGCCACCGGGGCAUCCCGGAGGCAGGAAAGGCUUCGGCCGGACAGGGAUGGGCAUGCGGCGCAUUAGGCAGUAGGCGGGGUAACGGCCCACCUAACCGACGAUGCGUAGGGGUUCUGAGAGGAAGGUCCCCCACACUGGUACUGAGACACGGACCAGACUCCUACGGGAGGCAGCAGUGAGGAAUAUUGGUCAAUGGUCGGGAGACUGAACCAGCCAAGCCGCGUGAGGGAGGAAGGUACAGAGUAUCGUAAACCUCUUUUGUCAGGGAACAAAGGCGGGGACGUGUCCCCGGAUGAGUGUACCUGAAGAAAAAGCAUCGGCUAACUCCGUGCCAGCAGCCGCGGUAAUACGGAGGAUGCGAGCGUUAUCCGGAUUUAUUGGGUUUAAAGGGUGCGCAGGCGGUCUGUUAAGUCAGCGGUCAAAGCCCGGGGCUCAACCCCGGCCCGCCGUUGAAACUGGCAGUCUCGAGUUGGAGAGAAGUAUGCGGAAUGCGCGGUGUAGCGGUGAAAUGCAUAGAUAUCGCGCAGAACUCCGAUUGCGAAGGCAGCAUGCCGGCUCCACACUGACGCUGAGGCACGAAAGCGUGGGUAUCGAACAGGAUUAGAUACCCUGGUAGUCCACGCAGUAAACGAAUGAAUGCUGGCUGUCCGGGGGGAUUGACCCCUGGGUGGCGAAGCGAAAGCGAUAAGCAUUCCACCUGGGGAGUACGCCGGCAACGGUGAGACUCAAAGGAAUUGACGGGGGCCCGCACAAGCGGAGGAACAUGUGGUUUAAUUCGAUGAUACGCGAGGAACCUUACCCGGGCUCAAACGGGGAGUGACUCAGGCAGAGACGCCUGUUUCCCACGGGACACUCCCCGAGGUGCUGCAUGGUUGUCGUCAGCUCGUGCCGUGAGGUGUCGGCUUAAGUGCCAUAACGAGCGCAACCCCCGCGUGCAGUUGCUAACAGAUAACGCUGAGGACUCUGCACGGACUGCCGGCGCAAGCCGCGAGGAAGGCGGGGAUGACGUCAAAUCAGCACGGCCCUUACGUCCGGGGCGACACACGUGUUACAAUGGGUGGUACAGCGGGAAGCCAGGCGGCGACGCCGAGCGGAACCCGAAAUCCACUCUCAGUUCGGAUCGGAGUCUGCAACCCGACUCCGUGAAGCUGGAUUCGCUAGUAAUCGCGCAUCAGCCAUGGCGCGGUGAAUACGUUCCCGGGCCUUGCACUCACCGCCCGUCAAG